UCUAUUGCUUGAAAUGGAUGUCUUAGUACCCAUGAGUUGCGAACAUAUAUUGCAACCAUUCAUCUUCACACAACUACAAAUUGGAGAUAAUUAUUUCAAUGAAAUAAUCACUACAUUGAAUCAAAUUCUUGCUGCUGUGUCUUUCGUGAUAGAUGAAAAUGUGAUUAAGCUUAGGUGUGAUUGCAAUAUCCAUUUGCUUAUGCAUCUGAUGGUGCCUCUCACUACUACAGUACUUUCCAUCAGCUCAUAAAUCAAUCAUUUGUGUAUAAAAAUGAUUGUCGUAUGGUCUCAAUCAGUUCAUAAAUCAAUCAUUUGAACUAAUUGUCAUGGCUAGGUGUGGAGUGCAUACAAUCAUUUUGAGUUACAGGCCCUUUUGUUCGGGAAUAUGGAGCGAGGGGACUUAUGAAGGUUAUUGUAGGCCACCUGUGUAAUGCCAGAUAGUCUGAUUGAUGAACUAGAGAAGUCCAAUAGCCCAAUAGUUAAUGA